CUCUCCCUUAUAUAUUGGGUGUAGAAGUCAUUCAGAGCAAGUGGUUAAAAAGGGAGAGGUCCUGCUUCAUCCCCACGGAAAAAAAAGAGAGAGGAAACUGCCUUGUGCCAGGACUAUGAAGGACGUAGGCAGAGAAACACAUCUGCAGUGCUAUCCGGGCACCUGAGGGAGAAGAGUAGGAACACAAAGCCAAAGUAACUUGGUUUCCAAUUCAAAUGAUCCUUGCAACCCAAAGUGACUCUUGGACUGGCGAAAGAGAGAAGACGAUAUAUGCUGGAGGAACAGAAGACUGGCCUAACAUCAUGGCAUUGCAAGGGAUAGUAGCUGUAAAAGUGGCAAGCUGAUCCUACCUCACCCCUCAUGUUUCAGAUAAGAUGCCAAAUAUGGCUGAUCCCUCAUUUUCCCUCCAGUUAAUUCUUCUUUCCUUCUUUUUUUUUGCCAUCUUGAAUAAACUAUUAAUUU